CUGGGCUAUGGAGACAUGUACCCGCAGACGUGGUCCGGCAUGUUGGUGGGAGCGUUGUGUGCGCUGGCGGGCGUGCUGACCAUCGCCAUGCCCGUGCCCGUCAUCGUGAACAAU
rfam:Felis catus isolate Cinnamon breed Abyssinian chromosome D1, whole genome shotgun sequence.